rnacentral:rRNA from 1 species
UACAGAGGGUGCAAGCGUUAAUCGGAAUUACUGGGCGUAAAGGGUGCGUAGGUGGCUACGUAAGUUAGAUGUGAAAUUCCAGGGCUUAACCUUGGGUGUGCGUCUAAUACUGAGUAGCUGGAGUGCUGUAGAGGAUAGUGGAAUUUCCGGUGUAGCGGUGAAAUGCGUAGAUAUCGGAAGGAACACCAGUGGCGAAGGCGACUAUCUGGACAGACACUGACACUGAGGCACGAAAGCAUGGGGAGCAAACAGG